rnacentral:rRNA from 1 species
UACGUAGGGGCUAGCGUUGUCUGGAUUUAUUGGGCGUAAAGAGCGUGUAGGCGGCCAUGUAGGUCCGGUGUGAAAACUCGAGGCUUAACCUCGAGAUGUCAUCGGAAACCAUUUGGCUAGAGUCCGGAAGAGGAGAGUGGAAUUCCUGGUGUAGCGGUGAAAUGCGCAGAUAUCAGGAAGAACACCAAUGGCGAAGGCGGCUCACUGGUCCGGUACUGACGCUGAGGUGCGAAAGCGUGGGGAGCAAACAGG